rnacentral:lncRNA from 13 species
GAGAUAACAUUGUGUUCACUUGUCUAUGAAGUUUGGGUUCUCCGUUUGUUUGAUUUGACCGCGUAUGGACCAUCUUGAGUGGUUAAUGUGUGGUCUAUCUAUGGUUAGAGGGACCUGGGGUGCAGACGUUAGUGGAGGUGUUUAAAGUGCUACUUCCUACCUGACGGGUUAGAGGACUUUGCUUCUACUUAUUCAACCAAUCAAUCAAAUUUAUAUGGCCUUUUUUCCACCGGCAGGUAUCACAUAGUACUUUUAUAAUAACCCUGCCUGCACCAUUUAUUUCUCACUGUGUGAUGUCAUAUCCUCUUCCUGUUAAGGCACCUGGCCAACCGGAUGUAGCAGAGCGCUCCUGCUGCUCCUGCCUCAAAUACACACAGGAACUUCGAGUGCAUCUGCAUGUCCUCCUCCCAGACCAGAGGCCUCUUCUCAAACAGUGCCUUAUCAUCCAUCACCUCUUACACACAAACAUUGUCUUGUUGUUUUCAUUACAGGGGCCAUUUUGAAUCGGACCAACCCAAAGCCUGAUGCCAAGUAGACUCUGGAGGUUUCAGCUCUCACAGCUGUUACCAUUUUGUUAUGGAAUGGCAUAAUGGGGAGCAGUUGUUAUUACGUAAGGGACAUCUGGGGUACACAGCAAGGGACAUCAUGUUGUUUGUUCCUAUGCCAAGGGAAUGGUUUAGUGUCUAUUGUAUGUUCAACUUCAACCUUAAAAUACCAUGUCUAUGAUCAAACACAUGAAGCCUACUUAUUAAAGUAGAGGUGAAAACACUUUGGCAUGGGAUCUCUAAGCAUGAACCUACACUACAAUACAUUACAAAAAGUCUAUAAAAAAUGAUCUAAUAAUUUCUCAAGAACUUACACUUGACCAAAAAUGUUCUCCGCCUGUGUGAGUAAGGUGUCUAUUCAUCUUGGCAAGAGGUUAGCACUGUUGAAAAUGAACUCUGUCCGUGUUAGGACAGAGGGAGUGAACAGGAAUGUGCUGUGCAUUUUUUUUUAUAUACCGGAGAUUUAAAAAAAAAAAUACAUAUUUGAUUAGAUAAGUGAGAAAUACAAGAGUCAUGGUCUCACUAGAAAUUUGUGGUCACUUGAACUCUGCUAGUGGGGGCCAGAACCUUUGCUGCAUGGCUGCACUAUUUGGAAGAGUGGAGGAUUUCAGGGAAAAGCUAACUUUGUCUCUGCAUGUCAUAUGUCUGGCAGGGAGCUAAAUGAACCAAUCUGUUGAAGAUAGUCUAAAACAUCCCGGGGCUACAUGCCAUAUCCCAUUCAGCAGAAACAUUCCUACAUACCAGAGGGUUAGGUUAGCCAGCCCUGUUGACAGGUCCAAUUCCGAGUGUCCUCCAGGGCAGAUAGCAGAGAGACACUGCUCAGGCUCACAGACUUAAACCCAAAUUACACUAGCCACUUCCUGUUGUUUCACUUCAAUAGACUUUUACAAGGUAUGUGAGAGUGAAAUUCCUAGGUUUCACUGACGCUUUGCAUAUGGCUCAAGGGGAACACCAACAGUGGAAGACAUACAGCCGCCACAUGUCCCUAAUACAUUACAAAUGAUCUUAAAAGUAUUUGUAUUUUACUUUACCAGGCAGGUCAAUUAAGAUAAGAACAAAUUCUUAUUUACAAUGACGGCCUGAGCAUCUUUUUAUUUUAUUCAUUUUAAAUGUUUUAUACAAAUGUUGGCAAAACUAUCCUGAUCCCAAUCUCAGUCUACAGAUGUCAUAAUAGUUAUUAAUUAGCUGUAUGUCUUCAUCAGUAUUUAAAGAGCUGAGUUAUGCAACUGUUGGAUUCUGGGGACGUUUAGUUGGGGGACUUAUAAAGUACUAAAUGUUGACUCUGGAUCAGGAUAUGGAAAUCGAACACGCCUGUAGGGAGUCCGGGAUUUUCAUGGAUGGUAAUUUCCCUCUCAUAGGAUGUUAUGGUUACACAACGUACACCAAAACCACAGGGUGCAUUGGGGGGACAGGUCUCGUGGGGUGAAUGGGGAUGGGACAGUAUGAGUUCUGAGUCUAAGAACGCCUUGAGAAAUGUGUUCAUGUGAACAGUUUAUCCAGCUGUACAGCAUUGCUUGAUUCAACUCAUUUCAAUGCUCACAGUGCUGUGAGAACGGUUGGCCUCAAUUGAAUGGUUUCAUUGAAGACACUAUUGUAUUCCGGUUUAUGCAGAAAAGGAUGGUUUCCACGACAAAAUUAGUCCAGGAUAAGAAUGUCUUUAAUCUGUCUGGGAAACUGUCCCUAGAGGCCUAAAGUCAUGUUCAAAAAUGUUGUGUAUAGGUGGCUAUUGGGUCACUAACUGGCAGGUUUACAUGCAUUCAGCGGGAUUGUAGUCAUCUUGGGACACUGGGUUUUUAGAGUGAGCAUCCUCUUACAAAGAGUAUUACCUUUGUCCGACUGAAAAUAACAAUUUCAUCCUGACAUUUCUGUAUCAUUUCUUGUUGAGUUUGGUCAUUUAAAAUAAAUGUGUUGUCCAUUGCUGUUUAUAGAAACAGGGAAGUAAAUCAUUGUGAAAAGUUUGUCAACUCAUUUUUCAAGAACCUGAUGGAACCACUCUGACUAGAAACGUGUUGAAGAAAUCAUAAUUUGUCAGAACUUCAUGAUCAACCUGGUUGGUCAUUGGCCUGAAUUAAAAUAAACCAGUAUACAGGUAGCAGAUAGCAUAGCGGUUAGGAGCAAAUCACCCAGCCGACUAGGUGAAAAAUCUGUCGAUGUGCCCUUGAGCAAGAAACUUAACCUUAAUUGCGCCUGUACAGUGCCUUCGGAAAGUAUUCUGACCCCUUGCCUUUUUCCACAUUUUGGUAGGUUACGGCCUUAUUCUAUAAUUGAUUAAAUUGCCUCCCCCCCCUCAAUCUAAACACAAUGCCCCAUAAUGACAAAGCAAAAACAGAUUAAG